rfam:Triticum aestivum genome assembly, contig: Triticum_aestivum_CS42_TGACv1_scaffold_592616_7BS
AUAAUACUCCCUCAGUCCGGAAAUACUUGUCGGAGAAAUGGAUGUAUCUAGACGUAUUUUAAUUCUAAAUACAUCCAUUUUGAUCCAUUUUCGCGACAAGUAAUUCUGGACGGAGGGGGUAUUAA